CCUACGGGUGGCUGCAGUGGGGAAUUUUCCGCAAUGGGCGAAAGCCUGACGGAGCAACGCCGCGUGGGUGACGAAGUCUUUCGGGACGUAAAACCCUUUCAGCAGGGACGAAGCGAGUGACGGUACCUGCAGAAGAAGCAUCGGCUAACUACGUGCCAGCCGCCGCGGUAAUACGUAGGAUUCGAUCGUUGUCCGGAAUUAUUGGGCGUAAAGAGAACGUAGGCGGCUUUGUAAGUUCGGUCUUAAAGACCGGGGCUUAACCCCGGGAAUGGAUUGAAGACUGCAAGGCUAGAGGAUGUCAGAGGAUGGUGGAAUUCCAAGUGUAGCGGUGAAAUGCGUAGAUAUUUGGAGGAACACCUGUGGCGAAAGCGGCCAUCUGGGGCAUUCCUGACGCUGAGGUUCGAAAGCUCGGGGAGCAAACAGGAUUAGAUACCCGAGUAGUC
rnacentral:rRNA from 1 species